CACGGAGUUUCUCUCGGUUUGUGGGCUCAUCUAAAGCUCGCCUCUCCCCCACUGUGGUUCUAGUGUCCUCGCUGCUGGAGGGAUGGUGGCUGAGACUCAGCGGAGUGGAGUCCAAAGAGGGAGAGAGGAAAGAGGAGAGAGAAAGAACAAGUUCAGGAAGAACCAGCUGAGUAACAGGAGUCUGGUGGAGCAGCAGAAGAACAAUUUUGGACUCAACCACUACAGAGGAGACAAUGACUUCAACACAGAAGGACCAACACGGAGCGAGAAGUCAGCGCUCUCAGGAGGCCGACAAACCUCACAGAAGAAAG